rnacentral:misc_RNA from 1 species
GAUGAAGAACGUAGCAAAGUGCGAUAAGUAAUGUGAAUUGCAGAAUACCGUGAAUCAUCGAAUCUUUGAACGCAUAUUGCACUCUCUGGUAUUCCGGAGAGUAUGCCUGUUUGAGGGUCAGUUAAAAAAAAUCAAGCGUUAUUGCUUUGGUGAUGACGUUUGGAAUUGAGUCGUCUUAAUCCUUACGGUCAAAGUGACUUAAAAUUUUUAAUGUGAUUUCGAAACGUAUUUAAUAUUUUACUUACGUUUGCGAUAUCAAAUAAUCUAUUAGAUGUGGUCAUUUUCCAUGAUUCGCGUCUAUAGUUUUCUCAUUAAAUGACCUCAAAUCAGGUAAGAGUACCCGCUGAACUUAAGCAUAUCAAUAAGCGGAGGA